UUCGACUCGAGCGAAGCGAGAGAACGUUGCCGCAGGCAACGGCCCGAAGGGCGAGGCGCUUUAGCGCCGAGUAAUCCUUCCCCCACCACUG
rnacentral:sRNA from 1 species